rnacentral:lncRNA from 1 species
CGCUUUCCCGGUAUCAUGGGAGCACUUCGCGCCACCUGGUGGAACAGCUGGUCGAUUCCUUGCUGGCCUCCCAACCGUCCAGCGCGGGUCACCUCAUCUCCACCAUCCUUGACGUGUCGCGUGACCACAAGCCCCUCUUCAUCACGAAGAACCUGGCUCGCACGUGCCUCACGGCGUUCAGCUGGUCUUGCAAAGUAGCCCACCAGGUCCUGGUCAAUCGGGGAGACCUCAAACCCGACAAGAUCCGAGACCUGGUGGAGGCUCAAACCAACCUGCUUCUGUCGGUGUCGUCAGCAUGUGAUGCCACGCUCAACAAGAAGCUCAAGAGGAAAAUCAACUAUCUCUGGAAACAGGUGACUUCAACAUUCUGCCCUGGAUAU